GCGGCAACAGCUCAAAUUUGAAAUCUGGCGCAAGCCCGAGUUGUAAUUUGUAGAGGAUGCUUCGGGGCAGCGGCCGGUCUAAGUUCCUUGGAACAGGACGUCAGAGAGGGUGAGAAUCCCGUAUGUUUGACCGGCUGGCACCCCACACGUAGCUCCUUCGACGAGUCGAGUUGUUUGGGAAUGCAGCUCUAAAUGGGAGGUAAAUUUCUUCUAAAGCUAAAUACCGGCCAGAGACCGAUAGCGCACAAGUAGAGUGAUCGAAAGAUGAAAAGCACUUUGGAAAGAGAGUUAAAAAGCACGUGAAAUUGUUGAAAGGGAAGCGCUUGCAACCAGACUUGUGAACGGUGUUCCGCCGGUCUUCUGACCGGUCCACUCGCUGUCUACAGGCCAACAUCGUCUGGGGCUGCCGGAUAAAGGUGUCGGGAAUGUAGCUCCUCUCGGGGAGUGUUAUAGCCCUUCGCGCAAUACGGUGUGCCCCGGGCGAGGUCCGCGCUUCGGCUUGGAUGUUGGCGUAAUGGUCGUAAGCGGCCCGUCUUGAAACACGGACCAAGGAGUCUAACAUCUAUGCGAGUGUUCGGGUGCCAAACCCUUGCGCGUAAUGAAAGUGAACGGAGGCGGGAACCCUUACCGGCGCACCGCCGACCGAUCCUGAAGUCUUCGGAUGGAUUUGAGUAAGAGCAUAGCUGUUGGGACCCGAAAGAUGGUGAACUAUGCCUGAAUAGGGUGAAGCCAGAGGAAACUCUGGUGGAGGCUCGCAGCGGUUCUGACGUGCAAAUCGAUCGUCAAAUUUGGG
rnacentral:rRNA from 1 species